rnacentral:rRNA from 1 species
GGGCCCGCACAAGCAGUGGAGCAUGUGGUUUAAUUCGAUGCAACGCGAAGAACCUUACCCAGGUUUGACAUGUAGUGGACAGUGCUGGAAACAGCAUCUUCCUUCGGGACCAUUACACAGGUGCUGCAUGGCUGUCGUCAGCUCGUGCCGUGAGGUGUUGGGUUAAGUCCCGCAACGAGCGCAACCCUUGUCACUAGUUGCCAACACGUAAUGGUGGGGACUCUAGUGAGACUGCCCGGGUGAACCGGGAGGAAGGUGAGGAUGACGUCAAGUCAGCAUGGCCCUUAUAUCUGGGGCUACACACGUGCUACAAUGGCUGGUACAGAAGGCAGCGAAGCCGCGAGGUGGAGCAAAUCCCAAAAGCCAGUCUCAGUUCGGAUUGCAGCCUGCAACUCGGCUGCAUG